UCCCAGACCCCUCACCUUCUGCCUCCCCUUGGUCGCGUCCGGGUCCCUGUGGAGCUAACGAUCUCGCCACGACGUCAAGAAAGACGUAACGUCGGGCCACUGUGGCCUCUGGGAAACGUAGUCCAGAGCCAGACCAGACGCAGAUAAGAUGGCGUCCUCAUACGGCGGAGUCUGAGUUUGGCCGUUUGACAUUGCGCCCGGGGGAGCUUCAAAGACGGAGUCCCUGCUCCAGACCUCCCACCAGGCUUCAGCUGAUUUUCUUCUAAAGCAGGACGACUCACCCUUAGAGCCCCAUAAUUACUGGAAGAAGCAGCCACGUUCGUGUGGGACAGAGUGCUGACCAGCAAAGCCUAAAGGGAAAUGUAGUUCAAGGCCGGAAAAGCGGCGUUGCUGUAGACCGAAGGUAAUCAAAUACCAGGCUAGGCCUGGCCACGGUGACCGUGAGGGCCGCGUCGCGGAGACUUCUGGGAGUGUUCGCUCGCCCUCGGAGUGCGCAGGCGCAGCGCGCCGAGUGGACAUUUUGGUCUUUGUCCGCGGGUCAGUCCGGCCCCUGGGUCCACGUGGCGCGAAAGUAGGAGGGCCACUUCCUUGUGCUCCUGGAAACUGUACCUUCCUCAUCAUUGAGAAGGCCUGGAGGCCCCUGGGCUCAGCCUUAGUUCUAGGAUGGUACUUUGGCCCCCAGCAUUAACAUUCUAGUGCUGUGUCAUUUCCCCAAAAGCAGGUUAUAAACUGACCAAACUGUAUCUGAUCCUGUGUUGGAAUAAGAAGACACUGGAUGGUGGAGAACCAAGUGGAAAGGAAAUUUGUUCAGGUGAGUGAAUGGCAAGGCAGGUCACCAUUGGUCAGGCAUCAUUGACACCUUUGAAAUACUCAGGGAUAUUUUCUUACAGGCCCUAGACUUGG
rnacentral:lncRNA from 1 species